rnacentral:rRNA from 1 species
CCUAGCCCUUCAGAGGGGGACAACAGUUGGAAAGACUGCUAAUACCGCAUACGAUCUAACCUCGGCAUCGAGGAUGGAUGAAAGGUGGCCUCUAUUUAUAAGCUAUCACUGAAGGAGGGGAUUGCGUCUGAUUAGCUAGUUGGAGGGGUAACGGCCCACCAAGGCGAUGAUCAGUAGCCGGUCUGAGAGGAUGAACGGCCACAUUGGGACUGAGACACGGCCCAG